rnacentral:lncRNA from 1 species
CUUUUCACACAGGGUGUGAGAAUGGAAUGGAAUUGCCAAAGGAGAAGUGCUUUGCAAGGAGUAAAUUACUCUUUGCUUUUGAAGUUGUGUUACUAUUACUGAGAAGAACACUUCGCUCUCUAUCUGGAGGAAUUAAGAUAGAGAAAAUAUUUCUUAAGAUCCCAAUUUACUGGAAAAGGAAAAACUCUGAAGACAUGCUUUCUUCGUCAAUAACCUCACUGACUGGCUCUCUUAGAUGACUUUUAGAAGGAGCCAUAUGAUCUGAGUCUUCAGGCCAGACCCAAGAACCUUGCUCCUCCUUCCUAAAAACCAAACUAUGGUGCAUGUGAGUAUGGGAAAACAUCCAGCAGGUGCAGAAAGAGGGUACAGGGAGACCCCUCUAUAAGCUGUGUAAAGAGAGGACGGGUGGGGAAAAAAGGAGCGGAUCUUUAUAGCCUAUGGCUCUUGGUGAGUCUGAAGUUGAUAGCACUUGAAAAGAGAAUUAGGCAUGAGUACCUAAGACCUGUCAUGUCCAGUAGUAUGAAUAUGGUUAACCAUCCCAUGUGUCUUUUGUCCUUUCUAGGAUGAACACAGAGGAAUCUCUUAUCCAACAAGAGAUUUAAAUGAGACAGAGAAGGGUUAUGGCCAUAAAUGGCAGAAGGUUAUCUGAAUUUUGACAUACUCAGCUAUAGAUUCUUCCUCUUGGUUCUUUCCUCAACCUUCAUAACCUCUUUCAUUCCCCAUGGUCUUUCCUCAGCUUUUGCAUCAUCCCGCAAGCUCCCCCUCUACUCAGAAACCAAGAGAAGCUCCUAACUGAAGACAUGCUAAUUCCCCAUUGCAUGAAGUAAAGGUAGCUCUGCAUGGAAUUUCUGGGAAUAGAGAAGAGGAACCUGAGUUGAAGGUUAUUGGCAAAAUAGAAUUGCUUCCACUUUGGGUAGUGUUCUCUGUAGUGAUUCACUACUUGUGUUAUAUAAUCUUUUACAAGAGAGAAUUCUUCACAAAAUGCCUUAAGCAACUGGAUUAAAGAACAUUGCUGAAAAGUCAGAGAAGUAAAAUGAAUGAAGUUGUAUUUAGAACACAUAAGAAGAGGAGAGUGGGGUUAUCUUCGCAUCCAGUGAUGGAAGAAUAAAUAACACAUUAUAUUUUCA